rnacentral:rRNA from 1 species
CAAGCCUGACGGAGCAAGACCGCGUGAGGGAGGAAGGCUCUUGGGUUGUAAACCUCUUUUAUCAGGGAAGAAGAUCUGACGGUACCUGAUGAAUCAGCAUCGGCUAACUCCGUGCCAGCAGCCGCGGUAAUACGGAGGAUGCAAGCGUUAUCCGGAUUUAUUGGGCGUAAAGCGUCCGCAGGUGGUUUUUCAAGUCUGCUGUUAAAGCGCAGAGCUUAACUCUGUAACGGCGGUGGAAACUGAGAGACUAGAGUAUGGUAGGGGUAGCGGGAAUUCCCAGUGUAGCGGUGAAAUGCGUAGAUAUUGGGAAGAACACCAGCGGCGAAAGCGCGCUACUGGGCCAUAACUGACACUCAUGGACGAAAGCUAGGGGAGCGAAUGGGAUUAGAUACC